UGUGUGAACUUACAUAUUUGAAUUCAAAUUUAGAGGUUGAUUUUUAAAAACGUUUUGAAUUAGAAUUUUACAUUGUACCCCAAUAAGCUUGUACAUAUGGUUUUGUAUACUGCGUUGUAAUGCUUAAACUCAAAACAUGCAACAUGCAUGAUGUUACAGUAUACACAAAUCAUAGUAUAGAGGAAAAAUGCUACUUGGCAUACGCGUUUGUCCUUUUGUCAAAUGAAGCAAGCUUGUAAUUUAAUUGUACUCAAAGUAAUUUAGAUUUGCAUAACAUAUUUUUGUUUAUAUAAAAACUGGGUAAAUUUCAUCGCAAAAAAAGAAUUCGGCUAAUAUAACAAAGAUACAAUAAUAUCAUUAUUAGAAGGUACAAUUUGACAAUGAAAUUAAAAAAAUCAGAAU
rnacentral:misc_RNA from 1 species